rnacentral:misc_RNA from 1 species
UCCGGCUUAUCACCGGCGGUUCCUUUAGAGUGCCCAACUUAAUGAUGGCAACUAAAGGCGAGGGUUGCGCUCGUUGCGGGACUUAACCCAACACCUCACGGCACGAGCCGACGACAGCCAUGCAGCACCUGUGCACGAUCUCCGAAGAGGGGCUCUCGUUUCUGAGAGCUUGCUCGUACAUGUCAAGCCUAGGUAAGGUUCUUCGCGUUGCGUCGAAUUAAACCACAUGCUCCACCGCUUGUGCGGGCCCCCGUCAAUUCCUUUGAGUUUCAACCUUGCGGUCGUACUCCCCAGGCGGGGCACUUAAUGCGUUAGCUGCGGCACGGAAUCCGUUGAGUGAAUCCCACACCUAGUGCCCACCGUUUACGGCGUGGACUAC